rnacentral:tRNA from 1 species
GGCUUCACAGCUCAGUUGGUUGAUCAUCGCACCAGUAUUGCAGAGGUCACAGGUUUGAACCCCGUUGAAGCCC